UAACCGACUGAGCCACCCAGAUGCCCCAAGAAUUCUUUUUUGCAUGUACAGUAUACAUAUCCGUGUGUAAUUAUAGUUGAGUGAAUUGACUUGAAGAACUUGGACAGCAUUUGGGGGGGAUUGAAUAAUUUCUUUCAGCCCAGUCUGUCUGAGCACCUUCUGAGGGCAAAGCGAUACAUGAGCACGGCGGUGUGAAACAUUAAAGCCUACGUUAGUCAUCUCUCCCCCGAGUGGGGCUUGGAAGAUUCUUCCAUAUUCUAGACACUCGUCUUCUGUUUGGUAUGUGGUCUGCGAAUAUUUUCUCCAAGCCUGUAGUCUGUCUUUCUACCCUCUUAGCAAAAAUCUGUUUACAAAAACUCUCAUGUGAUCAAUCAAAUCUUGGCAAAGCCCGAUUCAGGAAGUGAGAAGAGUGACAGGGCCACAUGAGAGAGAUUAAACGACACUUUUCCUGUUUUUAUAGAAGUUUGGCUGGAUUCCCAAAGCCGAGAACGAUUGCGGAUAAUGGCGGUGCCUUUAAAAACCAGGGGAGCUGGACGCACGUAGGCAGGAUUUACCAAGAGGUGCCAAAAUAGCCCACUACCAUCCCUCCCUGCCUCCGAAGGGGAUGCUUCCCUGCAACCCACUGGCCAGAUGCUGGAGUCCAAAGGGAACCACAGUAGAGACGGGGGUGUCUGCGAAGGGGGGACGACAGGCAUGUCACUACCGGGCCAGAUGAAAUCUAGCCAAGAGCAGUCUUCGCUUCUUAGCACCAACAGGCAUUACGAGCCUGUUCACUUCAGCAUCGUUAAUCCAGUUGAAGGAUCCGCAGCUCAAAAAGGCAUCACCAGGGGAGUCAUUUAACGGGCCGUUAAACAGAAGGACGUGGUGUCCGAAAACCCUCAAGACCCAUUUUUCUUCUAAGUUCCAGUCUUUCUCUCUCCUCUCUUUUUUAAAAGUUUAUGUCUUUGGA